AGCAGUCAUUGCAAAGCUACAUUUUUGAUCUGGUAGGACUUUCAGAAUAGGCCCUUUCCCAUACUGGAAGUGCCAUUUAAACUUGUAUCUUGGAACUCCAUUGCUUUAAUUCAAGGGUUGGGAGGUAAAGAAAACCUGAGGAAGGGAAUAUGAAUAUCCAUUCCACUUGAUUGAUCCUCCCUGUCCUGGAAGAAAGAUCCUACUUGGAGGAUGAAAAUAAACAUUCUGAGCACACUACCUUAACCUUUUUUUUUUUUUUUUUUUUUUU
rnacentral:lncRNA from 1 species